rnacentral:rRNA from 1 species
AUUGAACGCUGGCGGCAGGCCUAACACAUGCAAGUCGAGCGGAUGAAGGGAGCUUGCUCCUGGAUUCAGCGGCGGACGGGUGAGUAAUGCCUAGGAAUCUGCCUGGUAGUGGGGGCUAACGUCCGGAAACGGGCGCUAAUACCGCAUACGUCCUGAGGGAGAAAGUGGGGGAUCUUCGGACCUCACGCUAUCAGAUGAGCCUAGGUCGGAUUAGCUAGUUGGUGGGGUAAAGGCCUACCAAGGCGACGAUCCGUAACUGGUCUGAGAGGAUGAUCAGUCACACUGGAACUGAGACACGGUCCAGACUCCUACGGGAGGCAGCAGUGGGGAAUAUUGGACAAUGGGCGAAAGCCUGAUCCAGCCAUGCCGCGUGUGUGAAGAAGGUCUUCGGAUUGUAAAGCACUUUAAGUUGGGAGGAAGGGCAGUAAGUUAAUACCUUGCUGUUUUGACGUUACCAACAGAAUAAGCACCGGCUAACUUCGUG